UGGGGAAUAUUGGACAAUGGGCGAAAGCCUGAUCCAGCCAUGCCGCGUGUGUGAAGAAGGUCUUCGGAUUGUAAAGCACUUUAAGUUGGGAGGAAGGGCAGUAAGCGAAUACCUUGCUGUUUUGACGUUACCGACAGAAUAAGCACCGGCUAACUCUGUGCCAGCAGCCGCGGUAAUACAGAGGGUGCAAGCGUUAAUCGGAAUUACUGGGCGUAAAGCGCGCGUAGGUGGUUCGUUAAGUUGAAUGUGAAAGCCCCGGGCUCAACCUGGGAACUGCAUCCAAAACGGGCGGGCUAUGUUAGGCAGAGGGUGGUGGAAUUUCCUGUGUAGCGGUGAAAUGCGUAGAUAUAGGAAGGAACACCAGUGGCGAAGGCGACCACCUGGGCUCAUACUGACACUGAGGUGCGAAAGCGUGGGGAGCAAACAGG
rnacentral:rRNA from 1 species